UACGUAGGGUGCGAGCGUUGUCCGGAAUUAUUGGGCGUAAAGGGCUCGUAGGCGGUUUGUCGCGUCGGGAGUGAAAUCCACUGGCUUAACUGGUGGCUUGCUUUCGAUACGGGCAGACUGGAGGUAUGCAGGGGAGAACGGAAUUCCUGGUGUAGCGGUGAAAUGCGCAGAUAUCAGGAGAACACCAUGCGGAAGGCAGCUCUCUGGGACGGUACUGACGCUGAGACGCGAAAGCGUGGGGAGCGAACAGG
rnacentral:rRNA from 1 species